rnacentral:rRNA from 1 species
AUUGAACGCUGGCGGAAUGCUUUACACAUGCAAGUCGAACGGCAGCACGGACUUCGGUCCGGUGGCGAGUGGCGAACGGGUGAGUAAUAUAUCGGAACGUGCCCAGUCGUGGGGGAUAACGUAGUGAAAAUUACGCUAAUACCGCAUACGAUCUAUGGAUGAAAGCGGGGGAUCGCAGGACCUCGCGCGAUUGGAGCGGCCGAUAUCAGAUUAGGUAGUUGGUGAGGUAAAGGCUCACCAAGCCGACGAUCUGUAGCUGGUCUGAGAGGACGACCAGCCACACUGGGACUGAGACACGGCUCAGACUCCUACGGGAGGCAGCAGUGGGGAAUUUUGGACAAUGGACGCAAGUCUGAUCCAGCCAUUCCGCGUGCAGGACGAAGGCCUUCGGGUUGUAAACUGCUUUUGUACAGAACGAAAAGCUCUGAGUUAAUACCUCGGGGUCAUGACGGUACUGUAAGAAUAAGCACCGGCUAACUACGUGCCAGCCGCCGCAGUAA